rnacentral:misc_RNA from 1 species
AAGUCGUAACAAGGUAACCGUAGGUGAACCUGCGGUUGGAUCAUUACGAAAUUCAAAACUCUGUGGGCUAGGUUGAACGUCUUACCAACGUGCAGCUCCCCAGAACCACACCCUUGUGAACUUUUAACGUCUUUUGGCGAACCCUUGGCGUGGGAAACCGCGUCUUGAAUUCAAAGGUGGUGAGAAAUGUUGAAAAACAAUUUUCUCUACCUCGAAUUUUGGAUCGCCAGUGUAUGACACACUCCUAUAUACCUAUAUAUUCACUGAAACCAAUAAGAGAAACAAUGAGAAACAACUUUAGACAACGGAUCUCUUGGCUCUC